rnacentral:rRNA from 1 species
UGCAGUCGACGAAGCGAUUUAACGGAAGUUUUCGGAUGGAAGUUGAAUUGACUGAGUGGCGGACGGGUGAGUAACGCGUGGGUAACCUGCCUUGUACUGGGGGACAACAGUUAGAAAUGACUGCUAAUACCGCAUAAGCGCACAGUAUCGCAUGAUACAGUGUGAAAAACUCCGGUGGUACAAGAUGGACCCGCGUCUGAUUAGCUAGUUGGUAAGGUAACGGCUUACCAAGGCGACGAUCAGUAGCCGACCUGAGAGGGUGACCGGCCACAUUGGGACUGAGACACGGCCCAAACUCCUACGGGAGGCAGCAGUGGGGAAUAUUGCACAAUGGGCGAAAGCCUGAUGCAGCGACGCCGCGUGAGUGAAGAAGUAUUUCGGUAUGUAAAGCUCUAUCAGCAGGGAAGAAAAUGACGGUACCUGACUAAGAAGCCCCGGCUAACUACGUGCCAGCAGCCGCGGUAAUACGUAGGGGGCAAGCGUUAUCCGGAUUUACUGGGUGUAAAGGGAGCGUAGACGGUAAAGCAAGUCUGAAGUGAAAGCCCGCGGCUCAACUGCGGGACUGCUUUGGAAACUGUUUAACUGGAGUGUCGGAGAGGUAAGUGGAAUUCCUAGUGUAGCGGUGAAAUGCGUAGAUAUUAGGAGGAACACCAGUGGCGAAGGCGACUUACUGGACGAUAACUGACGUUGAGGCUCGAAAGCGUGGGGAGCAAACAGGAUUAGAUACCCUGGUAGUCCACGCCGUAAACGUAAACGAUGAAUAC